AUAGAAAGUUGUGGCGUAUGGCCUACACUAGAUAUGGAUUGUUGUUUUACAUGUUUCGGAUGUUCUUUCUGAUUUUAAGAUUAUUGCAUCCGUAUCCCGAAGGGUUCGAAUCCGCGACAUCAAUACAGCAUUAAUCCAGACCACACAACACACGACCAGGCAGCCAUUGAGAGUUGACUUGUUCGAAACUUUAGGGUUCUCCCUACUUCUAGAUGGAAAAGAGUUCAGAGAGCUUGUCAUUUGUUGUCAGCAUGAAGACUGUACUACUUUUUGUCGUAUUUUCGGUAUUCCUGACCUCUUACGUGGCUUUCGGGGCCGCUAUAGAUUUAGUUGGGAAUUGUCUCCUACUUCCAAGAUGUGCUGCUCCACCUGCAUGGUGUCACUAUACCACAGAUGCCAAUGGUUGUAUGACUUGUCAAUUAGUGUGUACUCAUGACCCAUUUCUCAUCGGAGACAACUGACAUAGCAGAUCACACUGAACUAGAGAAGAGAAACAAACAAGACAAUUUCAAGAUCAUAACUUUUGUUCCGUAAAAGUCAGAUUAAAAGUGAUUGAAAAAAAUGUGUGUUUAUUUCUCCUCAUGGAUUACAUCCCAUAUAUAGAGAUUUUUAUGCCGGUAUAAAGAUUUAAUAUAUGUACAUGUCUGUGUAAUAAUGUGAUAUGACAAUUUGAUUCUGGGAGCACUAUUAGUGCCAUGGUGUGCUAUUGGGAGGUGAUUAUACACUUUGAUAGACUUUAAGCUGUAACACAGUGGACCUUUAUUUUUCUGAUUUUCCAAUGCUGUCUGAUACCUCUGCUAGACAGACUCCAGAGUAAUAUCUUCAAAGUUUGUUAUUUGGUGAAACGAUGAAAUUGAAACAUUGGAGGAUGCAGUUGAGGGGAAGAAAUAAAAAUGUUUUGAUGCCAAUUUAUGGGCAAAGGACCAAAGAAAAUAUGCAAAAAUGUAUCCCCUUUCAAAUGCAAUGUUUGAUAGGUUUCAAAUAGAAAAAAAAUAACUUUAAAAAAAAGGAAUCAAAUCUUACCAAUAGUUUUUUGUUUAGUGCAAUUUCAUGAUUUAAGCUUUCUCAAUACGCUGUGAUAGCGCUGUGACGCUAUCAUUCGUCUGUACCAGUUGGGAAAGAGGAUGGAAGAAAGAAGGGGUUAUCUGGGUGAAUAUUUUCAUUUUCGCUUUUUAAAUGCAUUAAUAACAAAAAUUUUUAAGCUGAAUGACCUGGAUUCUAACUCGAUUCUACAGGGGACUAGAGCAUUGUGGCUAAGUGAUGAAGUGCUUGGCUUCCGAACCUGGGGUACAGGGUUCCAAUCUCAGUGAGAUUGGGAUUAUGAAUUUCUGGAUUUUUAGGGCGUCCCUGAGUUCAUCCAACUGUAAUGGGAACCUGACUUUAGUUGGGUUGAUAGUUGAGCAGGCCAUAUGACACCCUGCUCAUUAACUAUUGGUCAAAGAAACAGUUGACCGUUACAUCCUAUAGAUCACAAGGUCUUUAGGGUGAACUUUACCCUUUAUAAAGUGGACUAAUUAAACUUAUACCACCACAUCAGUCUAGUACAAUUUUUUUCCCUUUUUUGAUACCAAACAAAAUAAUUACUUACCAAUAUGAACUAAUUGAUUUUUUUAUUUUUUUUUAUAGAUUCUUGUUUUGUCAGGUAAUAGAAUGUAAAAUGUCAGCUUGCUCCAAGAUUGAGUUUGGGAGAAAUAAUGUGUACAAAUCUUUUACAGACAUCAGUUGAUAUAAACAUGGUUUUAAAAAAAAAAGGAGCAAUUUACAUUUUAAAAAAACAACAAAAAACAAAUUAUACAUUUAAAAAAAAAAUUUCCAAUUUACUAAAUUUAUUUGCUGGAAUAGAAAAAAAAAAAAAUUUUAAAAAGCUGAUUUUUAAAUGUUUUUUUUUAUUUACAUAAUCAUAAAUAAACAUAAAAAACAAAUAACAUGCACAUCUGUGAGAAUCGAUAUGGCUUCAGUAUAAAGCAUCAAGUACUUCAGACAAUUCACACAACAGGACAUGUCAAGGCCACACUAGCCUGAUGAUGAACUAACAUUAGUCUAAAAACUAAUACAUUAGUAACUGGUGAGUCAGUAUGAAGAUCACAUUCUAGUCAGUAAAUAUACAACAGACAGACAAAGCGAUUUAAUCUCAGGUCAUCAUAUAGAAUUCAUUAUACAGACAAAGUUAUCACAACAGUUAAAGUUUACUUUGAGCCAUCAUCACCUGGUUCUGAUAUAACAGACAGACAAAAAACACAAAA